CAAAAAUCAAAGAGGGCAGAAGGCAGGAGAGUCCGACAGGGGAUCAGGCAGCGGGGAGUCAAAGGAGGAAGCAAUGGUCGGCAACAGGAAUCAGGUAGGCAGGAGAGUCCGACAGGGGAUCUGGCAACAGGAGGUCAAAGGAGGAGGCUAUGGUCGGCAACAGGAAUCUAGAACAAGACAAGGUUUUAGUACAGGAUCUCUCACAAGGACAGUAGGUGACCAUCUGGCAGGGAUGCAGAGACUGGGUAG